UAUACAAACAUUAAAGUAACAAACGUAGUCUUAUUAUAAUCUAAUAAAACUUUCAACAACGGAUCUCUUGGCUCUCGCAUCGAUGAAGAACGCAGCGAAAUGCGAUAAGUAAUGUGAAUUGCAGAAUUCAGUGAAUCAUCGAAUCUUUGAACGCACCUUGCGCUCUUUGGUAUUCCGAAGAGCAUGCCUGUUUGAGUGUCAUGAAAAUAUCAACCUUGACUUGGGUUUAGUGCUCUUGUCUUGGCUUGGAUUUGGCUGUUUGCCGCUCGAAAGAGUCGGCUCAGCUUAAAAGUAUUAGCUGGAUCUGUCUUUGAGACUUGGUUUGACUUGGCGUAAUAAGUUAUUUCGCUGAGGACAAUCUUCGGAUUGGCCGAGUUUCUGGGACGUUUGUCCGCUUUCUAAUACAAGUUCUAGCUUGCUAGACAUGACUUUUUUAUUAUCUGGCCUCAAAUCAGGUAGGACUACCCGCUGAACUUAAGCAUAUCAAUAAGCGGAGGAAAGGAUCAUUAGUGAAUUGAAUAUGUUAGCGGACCUCUUCGGAGUCCUAGCAUCAAUCAUAUCAUAACACCUGUGAACUGUAAGGCUGUCUUGAAAACGAAAGUGAUUAGAGC
rnacentral:rRNA from 1 species